rnacentral:rRNA from 1 species
UACGUAGGCAGCAAGCGUUGUUCGGAGUUACUGGGCGUAAAGGGUGUGUAGGCGGUUAUUUAAGUUUGGUGUGAAAUCUCCCGGCUCAACCGGGAGGGUGCGCCGAAUACUGAAUGACUUGGAGUGCGGGAGAGGAAAGUGGAAUUCCUGGUGUAGCGGUGAAAUGCGUAGAUAUCAGGAGGAACACCGGUGGUGUAGACGGCUUUCUGGACCGUAACUGACGCUGAGACACGAAAGCGUGGGUAGCAAACAAG